rnacentral:rRNA from 1 species
UUCUAUUAGAAAUUAUUAAUAGUAAAAUCUGCUCAAUGAGUUUAAAUAGCCGCAAAUUUGUGCUAAGGUAGCAUAAUCAUUUGUCUUUUAAAUGAAGACUAGUAUAAAAGAUUAAAUAUUUUAUAAAAUAUAUUUAAAUUAUUUAUUAAAAUUUUUCAAAAUGUAAAAAAACAUUUAUCUCUAAAAAAGACGACAAGACCCUAUUGAACUUUACUUUAGUUAAACUGGGGUAGUUAAUUAAUUAACAUUUUAAUUUAAGAUGAUUUUAAAAAAUCCUUUUAAAGAGAUAAACAAGUUACCAUAGGGAUAACAGCGUAAUAUAUAUUUAAAGACCUUAUAUAAACAUAAGUUUACGACCUCGAUGUUGAAUAAUUACCUAAUUAAUGCAAUAAUUAAUAAAGGAAGUCUGUUCGACUUUUAAAUAAUUACA